AGAUUAUUCAGUUUUGUUUUUCUUUCACUUUUCAAAACUCAGGGCCAAGGUUGGAACAUUUUUUAAAUAAAGAAAAAAGAGCUAUGAAGCUAUUUAUAUCAGUUCCCGCGAGUUUCCCUAAAUAGAACAGUACCAUGGAGUGCAAUUGUGUGUGUGUGUGUGUGUGUGUGUGUAUGUGUUCACGUGUCUGAGAAUUUGCAACAGUUCACCGAGGAGGAGCAUUUAGACUCCGGUGGGCGGGGUCACCUAUCGUUCAAUACUCAGUAAAUUUCCCAAGAGCACCCUUCCACCACCUCUCCGCCCUCCUGCUGGGGCUCCACACGGUGAGCUGCUUGCGUUUCCCCAAACCUACCAGAGGACACGAUUCAGAAGUUCUGGAAUCCGAUUUUUAACAAGCUCCCUGGUUCUGAGGUAGUCUCCUUGAGGACUCUAGUUCCUGCUCUGUUGGCGUUCCCAUCUGCCUCUUUCACCAGGUCUCUUCCGAUGGGAACUGCCCGGGACGGCGCUUUUGUCUUCCUCCUCUGGGGAACGUGUCAAAAUCCGUAUGUAUCAAGGUGUCUUAUGAGCUUCACACUAGUUCCAUGAGGUAUAUAUAGGGAAAGUGCGUGUGCGCUAAAUCACUUCAGUCUGUCCGACCCCCUGCGGCCCCAUGGACUGCAG
rnacentral:lncRNA from 1 species